UGCCAGCCGCCGCGGUAAUACGUGAGCCCCGAGCAUUAUCCGGAAUUAUUGGGCGUAAAGGGUCCGUAGGCGGUUUAAUUAGUCUCCUGUUAAAGCACCGGGCUUAACCCGGGACAGGCAGGAGAAACGGUUAAACUAGAGAAAUUGAGGGGUGAGUGGAACUCAUGGUGUAGGGGUGAAAUCCGUUGAUAUCAUGGGGAACACCAAAAGCGAAGGCAACUCACUGGCAAUUUUCUGACGCUGAGGGACGAAACCCUGGUCAGCGAAUGGGAUUAGAUA
rnacentral:rRNA from 1 species